rnacentral:rRNA from 1 species
UACGUAGGGUGCAAGCGUUGUCCGGAAUCAUUGGGCGUAAAGCGCACGUAGGCGGUUCGUUAUGUCGGAUGUGAAAGCCCUUGGCUUAACCGAGGAAGUGCAUCCGAAACUGGCGAGCUAGAGUACGAAAGAGGAUCGCGGAAUUCCCGGUGUAGAGGUGAAAUUCGUAGAUAUCGGGAGGAACACCGGUGGCGAAGGCGGCGAUCUGGGUCGAUACUGACGCUGAGGUGCGAAAGCGUGGGGAGCAAACAGG